AGUGAACGCUGGCGGCGUGCUUAAUACAUGCAAGUCGAACGAGGAGCUCUUGUAGCAAUACGAGGGUUUCCUAGUGGCGAACGGGUGAGUAACGCGUUGGUGACCUGCCCCGAAGAGGGGGAUAACAGUUCGAAAGAACUGCUAAUACCCCAUGUGGUCACGAGGGUUAGAGGCCUCGUGUCUAAAGGAGCAAUCCGCUUUGGGAGGGGCCUGCGUCCCAUCAGCUAGUUGGUAGGGUAAUGGCCUACCAAGGCGACGACGGGUAGGGGGCCUGAGAGGGUGGCCCCCCACAAUGGAACUGAAACACGGUCCAUACACCUACGGGUGGCAGCAGUAGGGAAUAUUGCACAAUGGGCGAAAGCCUGAUGCAGCAACGCCGCGUGCACGAUGAAGGUCUUCGGAUCGUAAAGUGCUUUUCGGGGAGAUGAGAAAGGACAGUAUCCCCGGAAUAAGUCUCGGCUAACUACGUGCCAGCAGCCGCGGUAACAC
rnacentral:rRNA from 1 species